AAGAAAGCAAAACCCCCCCCAAAAACAACACAGUUAAAACAAAGGAAUACAGAGAUUAUAAAUGUUAGUUCAUGUAAUGGGAUAGAGAUCCAUAAAUUCAGUCAGUGGAUGAUUUUUUGUUUGGCAGUUUCAUGUUCAGGUUGGCUUUUGAAGCCUUGGUGUUUAGUAUGAGGUGGCAGUAAGAUUUGAGGAGAACACAGGGUGCUAAUUCAGAAAUGUCUUUGUAAAAUUUGGAUAUCAAUCUCCCGAACCUUUCUCAGAAUAUCAAUAAGUUCCAAUUGAAGAGCGGAUUCUUUUGCAAUUCAGGCAUGUGCCGGCGAUAACGGGCGAGUUGGCAUGAAGAGAGGCAGAGAUGGAUUAAUUAUGCAGAGAACAUGGAAAUUCUGCUUAUCAUCGGCUAGCAAAGGAGCCCAGCUCACAUAAUCAGCAAACGAAGGGAGAGAAAAAAAUAACAAUGCAAUGGCACCUUCCAGCCCAUCAUCAGGAUUUUUUCUACCCCCUUGUAAUUAAAAAAUAACAUACACUUAUAGCCCUAUCUCCUGUGCAGGCAAGGAGUGGAUGUCCACAAAAUAAUUGCACUGGGAUAUUAGAGCUGGGAACAAGGGCUGUCCAUUCCUACUAUCCCUUACUCCCUCCCCUCCCUCUCUCUCUCUCCUGGCCUCUACCAGGCACUUCUUUUCUGCCUGCAAUCCGAAUCAGAUGGAUGUCUCAGGUGACAUCCUAUCUCAGUGUCCAUAAGUCCCAAACCUCUCCCUUAUCAUGAUUCAAGCAAACAUGUAUAUGAUAAAUAUUUGAAGUGCCGAGGCUGUGGGGUUUUAUCCUGAUCACCUGUGAGCUAUCUGUAGAAAUCACUUUGAUGAAACCUUUCCAAAUGGUCUUUUCAAGUUACAAAACAGGCUGAUUAGAAAAGCUUUUUUGUUGUUAUAACUGUUUGCACUUUUGCCCACAAAAGAUCACAUCUCCUAUAAAGUUUUUUGUUUUUUUUUUCAUUUUUUGUCUUUAU